UACGGAGGGUGCAAGCGUUAAUCGGCAUUACUGGGCGUAAAGCGCACGCAGGUGGCUGAGUCAGUCGAUUGUGAAAGCCCUGGGCUUAACCUGGGAAUUGCAGUCGAUACUACUCAGCUGGAGUAUGGGAGAGGGUAGUGGAAUUCCCGGUGUAGCGGUGAAAUGCGUAGAUAUCGGGAGGAACAUCAGUGGCGAAGGCGGCUACCUGGCCCAAUACUGACACUCAGGUGCGACAGCGUGGGGAGCAAACAGG
rnacentral:rRNA from 1 species